rnacentral:tmRNA from 1 species
GGGGCCGUAAUGGUUUCGACGGGGAUUGUUUUUGGCAGAUAAGCAGGCCGCAGUGCCCAAAACUGCGCUAAAAAAGUGGGAAUUAAAAUUAAACGCAGAUAAUAACUACGAAUUAGCUGCUGCUUAAGCGGCUCGCCAAGUCUGGCCCUUCCCGCCCGGCCAGAGGCGGCGUCAAUUAUGGCGGGGAACUGCUCCACCUGCAGUCUUGAGGGUGGAAGCGGAUCUGCAAGACUACCGGAUGGCCACCAGCGAAAAAGGUGCGCCUGAAGGGAACUUUCAUAUUUUUCGCUAAGCCUGUAGAAAAUUUGCCACGAAGGUCUUCGGACAGGGGUUCGACUCCCCUCGGCUCCACCA